AUUGAACGCUGGCGGCAGGCCUAACACAUGCAAGUCGAACGGAAGCACGGAGCUUGCUCCUGGUUUCGGGGGCGGACGGGUGAGGAAUGCCUAGGUAUCUGGCAAGUAGUGUGGGCUAACGUCCGGAAACGGGCGCUCAUACCUCAUCCGUCCUGAGGUCGAAAGGGGGGGAUCUUCGGUCCUCGCGCCCUCAGAUGAUCCUUGGUCGGAUUGGCUAGUUGGUGGGGUAAAGGCCUACCAAGGCGACGAUCCGUAACUGGUCUGAGGGGGUGACCAGGCACACUGGAACUGAGAAACGGUCCAGGCUCCUACGGGAGGCAGGAGUGGGGAAUAUUGGACAAUGGGCGGAAGCCUGAUCCAGCCAUGCCGCGUGUGUGAAGAAGGUCUUCGGAUUGGAAAGCACUUUUAGUUGGGAGGAAGAGCAGUAAGUUAAUACCUUGCUGUUUUGACGGUACCAACAGAAUAAGCACCGGCUAACUUCGUG
rnacentral:rRNA from 1 species